GACGAACGCUGGUGGCGUGCUUAACACAUGCAAGUUGAACGGUAUUUAUUAAACCUAAUCCUCAGUGGAAGAUUACUAAUGGGAGUGGUAAACGGUUGAGUAACGCGUGAGGAGCCUGGCUCUGCCUGUGGAAUCAACUCGUGAAACCGCGUUUAAUCCCUCAUCAAAUGGUAUAAACACAUGAUUUAAAGUUGUAUCAGUUAUCGAUGGUCUCGCGUCUCGUUAGCUAGUUGGUGAGAUAUCAGCUCACCAAGGCGAAGAUCAAUAGCCGGGCUGGGAGGACGAACGGAAACAUUGGAACAGAGACAAGGUCGAAACUCCCACGGGAGGAAGAAGUUGGGAAUAAUGAACAAUGGGGGAAACACUGAGGUAUCGACGUCGUGUGAACGAAGAAGGAAUUCGUAUCGUAAAGUUCUGUCCUAAGGGAAGAUAAUGACAGUACCAUAGAAGAAAGCUCCGGCUAAAUACGUG
rnacentral:rRNA from 1 species